AUUGAACGCUGGCGGCAGGCCUAACACAUGCAAGUCGAGCGGAAACGAGUUAUCUGAACCUUCGGGGAACGAUAACGGCGUCGAGCGGCGGACGGGUGAGUAAUGCCUAGGAAAUUUGCCCUGAUGUGGGGGAUAACCAUUGGAAACGAUGGCUAAUACCGCAUGAUGCCUACGGGCCAAAGAGGGGGACCUUCGGGCCUCUCGCGUCAGGAUAUGCCUAGGUGGGAUUAGCUAGUUGGUGAGGUAAGGGCUCACCAAGGCGACGAUCCCUAGCUGGUCUGAGAGGAUGAUCAGCCACACUGGAACUGAGACACGGUCCAGACUCCUACGGGAGGCAGCAGUGGGGAAUAUUGCACAAUGGGCGCAAGCCUGAUGCAGCCAUGCCGCGUGUGUGAAGAAGGCCUUCGGGUUGUAAAGCACUUUCAGUCGUGAGGAAGGUAGUGUAGUUAAUAGCUGCAUUAUUUGACGUUAGCGACAGAAGAAGCACCGGCUAACUCCGUGCCAGCAGCCGCGGUAAUACGGAGGGUGCGAGCGUUAAUCGGAAUUACUGGGCGUAAAGCGCAUGCAGGUGGUUUGUUAAGUCAGAUGUGAAAGCCCGGGGCUCAACCUCGGAAUAGCAUUUGAAACUGGCAGACUAGAGUACUGUAGAGGGGGGUAGAAUUUCAGGUGUAGCGGUGAAAUGCGUAGAGAUCUGAAGGAAUACCGGUGGCGAAGGCGGCCCCCUGGACAGAUACUGACACCCAGAUGCGAAAGCGUGGGGAGCAAACAGGAUUAGAUACCCUGGUAGUCCACGCCGUAAACGAUGUCUACUUGGAGGUUGUGGCCUUGAGCCGUGGCUUUCGGAGCUAACGCGUUAAGUAGACCGCCUGGGGAGUACGGUCGCAAGAUUAAAACUCAAAUGAAUUGACGGGGGCCCGCACAAGCGGUGGAGCAUGUGGUUUAAUUCGAUGCAACGCGAAGAACCUUACCUACUCUUGACAUCCAGAGAACUUUCCAGAGAUGGAUUGGUGCCUUCGGGAACUCUGAGACAGGUGCUGCAUGGCUGUCGUCAGCUCGUGUUGUGAAAUGUUGGGUUAAGUCCCGCAACGAGCGCAACCCUUAUCCUUGUUUGCCAGCGAGUAAUGUCGGGAACUCCAGGGAGACUGCCGGUGAUAAACCGGAGGAAGGUGGGGACGACGUCAAGUCAUCAUGGCCCUUACGAGUAGGGCUACACACGUGCUACAAUGGCGCAUACAGAGGGCGGCCAACUUGCGGAAGUGAGCGAAUCCCAAAAAGUGCGUCGUAGUCCGGAUUGGAGUCUGCAACUCGACUCCAUGAAGUCGGAAUCGCUAGUAAUCGUGGAUCAGAAUGCCACGGUGAAUACGUUCCCGGGCCU
rnacentral:rRNA from 1 species